AGGGUUUGAUCCUGGCUCAGAACGAACGCUGGCGGCAGGCCUAACACAUGCAAGUCGAGCGCACCUUCGGGUGAGCGGCGGACGGGUUAGUAACGCGUGGGAAUAUGCCCUUCUCUACGGAAUAGCCUCGGGAAACUGAGAGUAAUACCGUAUACGCCCUUCGGGGGAAAGAUUUAUCGGAGAAGGAUUAGCCCGCGUUGGAUUAGGUAGUUGGUGAGGUAACGGCUCACCAAGCCGACGAUCCAUAGCUGGUUUGAGAGGAUGAUCAGCAACACUGGGACUGAGACACGGCCCAGACUCCUACGGGAGGCAGCAGUGGGGAAUCUUAGACAAUGGGGGAAACCCUGAUCUAGCCAUGCCGCGUGAGUGACGAAGGCCCUAGGGUCGUAAAGCUCUUUCAACUGUGAAGAUAAUGACGGUAGCAGUAGAAGAAACCCCGGCUAACUCCGUGCCAGCAGCCGCGGUAAUACGGAGGGGGUUAGCGUUGUUCGGAAUUACUGGGCGUAAAGCGUACGUAGGCGGAUUAGUAAGUUAGAGGUGAAAUCCCAGGGCUCAACCCUGGAACUGCCUUUAAUACUGCUAGUCUUGAGUUCGAGAGAGGUGAGUGGAAUUCCGAGUGUAGAGGUGAAAUUCGUAGAUAUUCGGAGGAACACCAGUGGCGAAGGCGGCUCACUGGCUCGAUACUGACGCUGAGGUACGAAAGUGUGGGGAGCAAACAGGAUUAGAUACCCUGGUAGUC
rnacentral:rRNA from 1 species